UCCAAGAGCCAGUGAGGUAAGGAAUUGGUCCAAUUGGUGCUGAUGGGCGGGGGGCAGCUUUACAAAGUAAACCUUCUGGUGACAGGGAAGGCAGCGCGACUUCAGGCCACCCCAGACUGGACCUUCGACCUGUCCUGGCACCACCCCCUCCCAUCACAGGGCAUGGCUUUCACCAGGGCAGCAGGCUCAGAGCCACAGUGCUUCCUGGAAGGAGCCUCUGAUUUCCAGGAAGACCAAACUGCAAACACACAGCCUCUCUGUGCUGGCCUCAGCGUCAGGGCCUUCGCUCUGGAGAUAAGGCUGUGUCCACAGCUGUCCUGUGAGCAGGCUCACCUGGUCUCCCCAGCAGCCGGCGGGACUCAGGGCCAAAGCUCAGAGCGGAAGAGCGAGGGGAUCUGAGGGCACAACACCCCUCAGAUUUGGUGCCCUCCCCUCAGGGCUGUGUCUGAGACAGGGAUUCCGGGCUAGUGGCCCAAGAACAGCAGGGCCAGGAGGCUCUGCCGAGUACUUGGGCACCAUCUGCAGCCUAUGUGAACCGUGUGGGGGGUGUGUGUGUGUGUAUGUGUGUGCGUGCUCACACUCAUGCCAUGCACAGGCACAGGUGUGUGUACGGGUGCUACUUCAUUCUUGACUCGUGUUCACGAAAGCGUCCCAGGCCUGAAGCGAAGGGGCAGCAUGCAGCAGGCAGGGUGGGGCUGCCCCAUGAGCCCCGCAGCCUACAAGGGUGCCCAGGGAGAGGCAGGAGCACCAGUGCUCAAGCCCAGCCUAAGGGCAGGAAGGCUUCUGGGAGAAUAAGCCGAGGUUGAGGGUAAGAGCUGGGAGCUGUCCUGUUCCAGAAACCAGGGCUGAGCAGGGACCUGACGGGCUUCUGAGCAGAGGGCUUCUGGGGGUGGCCUGCAGUGGAGCAUCAGCUGCUGUGGGCUGGCGGGGCGAAGCCCCCACUGAACGUUCUGCCAGGGCCCUGGUUUCUGCCAUAGAGGGUGACACUUACCAGACUCAACAACGGAAGCGGGUGGUUUUCAGGAUCACGUCGUGGCUGUGACCUUAGAGAAAGACGCGCUGAGGGAAGCCUCAGCCCCCCUCCAGCUUUCUCCCUGGAGGCGGUCUCCAGUCUCUGAACCACAGCACAGGGAGUAGAGGCCAGAGAGCAGCGUCUCGAGGUGCAGGGAAAACAGACUGAAGUCCAGGGGCACGGGUAGCUGCGAUGUGUGCCGGGAGAGACUGCAGCCUGGCAGGGAAGAGCUCUGGGGAGCUGCGAGCUGAUCGCAGGCUCCCGUGGCCACCCAGGCGUGGAGUCUGGCCAGCAGCGAACACGCCGGCCUCAGCUGGGCCCUCAGGAAAGCCACCCUCACGGGGGAGGCAGCUCGUGGUAGAGUGCUUGCCUAGCAUGUCAAGGCCCUGGGGCCCAUCCCCAGAACAGAGAGGACAGGAGAAGAAUUCCUAUCACCAACCCCCAGAUCCCCAGUGCCCUUCAGCUGUGGGUUCGUCUGUAACCACCAAUCUGACCUCAGUCCUUGGGACGGGCCCACCCUAGGUGCAGAACUCCACAGCCUCGGAGUAAGGGCCGCCCUGGAGCGUGUCCAAAACAAGACCCAACAGGACAAGACUGAUGUGGCAAUAGCUUAGCUGCAUGCCCAAGCAAAACUCAGUGGACUUUAAAGGAAGACAGCAAAAUCCAGACUCCCAGCAAUGUUCUGUUGUACGGUCCAACAUCCAGAGAAAAAUUAUUAGACGUGAUAAAGCUGAAUCACUUGAAUCGUAACCAGGAGAAAAAUUAGCCAAUAAGGAGCCCCGAUGAAUUUCCGGGGCAAAGAGAGAGUGCCUUCUGUCAUUGGGUAUCUCCCCAUCGAUGUGCCUAGUUGCCAUGAAGAAACGCAGAGCCACCAUUUGGAAGGGGUCACCGGAAGCCCGGAAGAAAGCCCAGGUGGAGGCAGCCUCGGCCCAUGGAGCGCUGUGGGCUUCACAGUGUGGACAGGCCUGGGGCCAGGUGCUACACAGCCACUGCCCUGAGAGGGCCAUUCUGCAUGAAGACGGACACGAACAAGCUCAGAUGGCAGAGGCCAGGAGAGGGGCCCAGCAGGUGUGAGAAGUGCGAGUCCUUCUGCCGGGGAUCGUGGAAGCCUUCACGGAGGAGAGUCCUGUUGUGCUGGGCUUCAAAGAUUGGUGGGAGGAGGAUACUUUUCACCCGUAAAGCCAUAGAAUACCCACAUGUGAUAUGUUGGUAUCAGGAGCCCCUUCCCUCCAGCUGAUAGUCACGCCCUUCAGAGACCCAGCGUCCCUGACCACACCAGCCUUGGCCAGGGGCGCCUAGAACAGGAAGCCCUUCCUCGGCCUCGAAGACCACCAGCAGCCGCCCAGAGCUGUGGGACCUUGAGCAAGUGUCUUGUUUGUUUGUUUCUUUUCGUUUUCUGGCUGAUUAAACCAAACAAGGAGUUUAUCAACAAGCUCUUGGGGGUCACAAAAUUGUAGCAAGCCUGGGAAACGGGGCUCAUGCCAUGCUUCCAAAAGCAAUGCCCGUGCCAGUACUGCACAAGUGCCCGCUCUCCCCCCGCAUGCCACCUCUGGGUCAGGAAGCUGAUCGUCCAGCUACCAUCAACUGCACAGAAGACAGGGGUGUUCCUGGGCAGCCAGAACAUGACAAAUGUCCACCCGAGCCUCUUGCCCAGACUGUUCACCAAAAAGACACCCAGCCUCUUGCCAGUCCUGUGAACUCCUGGCAGAGAUGCCCAGACUGUAAAACCUCCCUGAGACCCUGACACACCACAUCGACCGAGGGGUGAGGUGCCCCCAUACCCAGGAUCAAGUGUCAUCUCCCGCUGGCAGGAGGCGUGAGGAGGACGGGUCUCUUGAGCAAUUGUCCUAAGCGUCCCCUGUCUUCCUCCUCCGUACACCGGGCUGGCAAUGCCCUUCCACAUGGCCCCGCCCACAGGUCUUGGGACUUGCUUGACCAGGGGAACAUGGCAGAAAUGCGGCUGCACCAGUGUCUUCAGAGGCCUGGAAGCUUCACGCUCUCUUGGAACCCAGAGGCCAUCUGUGAGGAAGCCAGACCAUCCUCUGGGAGGGAAGGCCGUGUGCACAGCUGCGAGAGUGGUCCUGAGCAGUCAUGCAGCAGCCCACCCUAGGGAGCCCACAGAACCAGGAGAAAUGGACUGCUGCCACUCCUCUAAGACUCACCCCCUGCUGCCUUUUUGGGUGUCUGGCUGGAUGCAUGGGGUGCACAUCCUUCCAGCCCCCGACUUCCACGUGCUGAUCCCAGAGACCUGGACGUGGUGAAGACAAAUGUCAGCAGUCAGGUAUGUGCAGCUCCAAAGCUCUUCCUGUCACCCUACGCAGCCAUGGAGAGUGCCCAUGGAAUUGGGCUUUUAGGGCCAUGCCUGCUUCUGUAGGUUAUCCCAGAAGACCCAGGCUGAGCUCAGGAGGCCUGGCCCCCACUGCCAGCAGGAUGACGGGCCUACCCAGCCUCUCCGCCUCUUCCUCUGCUUACCUGUGGAGAUAACGGCCUCUUCCUGGGUAAUCAUGAGGAGAUAACAGAGAGAAGUGCUUGUGAAUAUGUGUGCAGGGACUAUCAUCCUGGCCCACAUGUGCCGGGCUCUGAGCUCUGACAGCCCAGACCUGGGGGUCAGGCCUGGGGUCAGGCCUGGGGAUCAGGCCUGGUAUCAACAACCCUGGGGUCAGAGGUUCAUUUGGGAGCAGAGCCAGGCUGACCCCCGGGACCCCACAGUCAA